rnacentral:tRNA from 1 species
GCGGGGGUGGCCGAGCCAGGUCAAAGGCGCGGGGUUUAGGACCCCGUCCCUCAGGGGUUCGUGGGUUCAAAUCCCACCCCCCGCACCA